rnacentral:lncRNA from 1 species
CAAAACGCUCUUUUCAUUCGUGCCCUAACUUAUUAAUCUUGUAAGUUGCCUUAAUUUUAGUUAUCCAAAUUCGUUUUUUUAGUAGCUCCACUUUCUCUUGCUCUGAAACCACAUCUCAGUUGUAGGGUUUUAUCAUGAAACUUUUAGUGUUUGACAAUCAAAAUUAGAGGGAAAUGUUAUCACAAUUGCAUGAGGGAAGUGUUUAAUAUCUAUAAGAGUAUGAAGAUCCAAAAGCUGCAUGUUUUAGGGAGCUAGAGGAAUCAAUUGUGCUUCAUUGUUACAAUAAGAUCCUUGGUGAUGAAAGCCCAUUGCGUAAGGCUUUAAUUUUUUUUGUUCUUUUGGACCUUUGCUAAUUUUUUUUUUAAAAAAAGUACACCCCGGAAACACACACAUUAGUAUGUAAGUGAGAAAAAAUGAUUUGAAAGUGUCGAAAGAAAGGGAUUAGGUACCUUUUUCUACUUACUCAAAAUAAUGUGUGGUCCUGUUUUGUUUUGUGUUUUUUUUUUUAAAUAAUCUUGAAGGUUGCUCUAAAAGAUUUUUAUUUUUAUUAUGUGAUCUUGUUGCAGCUUUAUACACAACUACACAACUGUAACAAGACCAACAAAUACCGGGAUUGGCUUAUAAGAGUUCAUUAAACCAUAAAGUAGUUCUUUUUUUACCCUAAUAAGUUAUCUUUGAAUCACCACAACGGUGUAAAGCACACUUAUAUAAGCAUUAAAGAAGAACAGACAUAAUAGUAUGUUGACCCAUUUUAUCUCGUUCUCUUUUUCAAAUUUCCAUUAUAAUUCUGAAGUAUUUCAUAGGCAAAAGCUCUGGCUGAGAAUACGGGGGAUUUUUUUGCCUGGAAAGAACAAGCAGAAAGAAACUUAAAUAUCUUUAUACUUAUUUUUUUUAAUUUCUUGUAGUUUUUUUCAUUAUAUUUUUACAUGUGUUUGAUUUUUUAAAGAUUGGCUAAACGGCUUGAUGUUGAGGUGCAAAGAUGGUGUAGUGGGAACCAAGGCAACCAGUGUGCAAUACAUUCAAUGUUACAUAUGUAUGUUGUAAUUAUGAUUAGAAUUCUAAGAUAGUAUUUAUACAUUUCAUAUUAUAGGGUGAAACUCGUAGAAACUGCGG